rnacentral:rRNA from 1 species
ACGCUCGACACCUACGGGAAGCAGCAGUGAGGAAUAUUGGUCAAUGGGCGCUAGCCUGAACCAGCCAAGUAGCGUGAAGGAUGAAGGCUCUAUGGGUCGUAAACUUCUUUUAUAUAAGAAUAAAGUGCAGUAUGUAUACUGUUUUGUAUGUAUUAUAUGAAUAAGGAUCGGCUAACUCCGUGCCCACAGCCGCGGUAAUCUGAGCGGGCUGGCAAGGC